rnacentral:rRNA from 1 species
UACGUAGGGUGCAAGCGUUGUUCGGAAUUACUGGGCGUAAAGGGCUCGUAGGCGGCCAACUAAGUCGGACGUGAAAUCCCUCGGCUUAACCGGGGAACUGCGUCCGAUACUGGAUGGCUGGAGUAUGGGAGAGGGAUGCGGAAUUCCAGGUGUAGCGGUGAAAUGCGUAGAUAUCUGGAGGAACACCGGUGGCGAAGGCGGCAUCCUGGACCGACACUGACGCUGAGGCGCGAAAGCUAGGGGAGCAAACGGG